rnacentral:rRNA from 1 species
GUGAUCCCGUCGGGAUGCUCGCCGCCCAUCCUGACCAAGUUCGCCGAUGCACCACCGGCAGCAUACGACUCCAAAACCGGCUGCCUGACAGCGCACAACGAGCUGGGGCUGUACCACAACGCGCUGCUGCAGGCGGCGCUGUCCAGGCUUCGGGCCAACCACCGCAACGUCAAAAUCAUCUACGCCGAUUUCUUCGGCCCAAUCAUGGAGAUGGUGGAAUCGCCGCACAAGUUCGGUUUUGAAGAGGACGUACUUAUGGUGUGCUGUGGAGGGCCUGGAAGGUACCGAUUCAACUCGACGCUUAGAUGCGGCGAUGCAGCCGCGACGACGUGCCAGGAUCCAUCUGCUCGGCUGUACUGGGACGGCGCCCACCUGACGGAGGCGGCUAACCGGCACAUCGCUGAUGUCUGGCUGGGCGAGAUCAACUCGUCCACAGGAGUCAGCCGCAAGCAGCAGGGUGCAGAGGGCCAUGUCGACUAG